UCCCUGGUGGCUCAGACGGUAAAGCGUCUGCCUACAAUGCGGGAAACCUGGGUUCAAUCCCUGGUUUGGGAA
rnacentral:tRNA from 1 species